rnacentral:lncRNA from 1 species
ACUGUCUCUAGGAUAUAUUUUUAUUAAUUCAUUGAGAAUUUCAUACAAUACAUUUUGAUCACGUUUACCCCACUUCUCCUCCUAACUCCUCCCAGAUCCACCCUGCACCUGCCCACUCCUCUUAACUUCACAUUCUCCCAUUUCUUUACCUUUUCAAAAAGCAAGCCACACUGUUUAAUUUGUGCUGUCAUUAUACUCACGGGCACAGGGUCAUCUACUGGACAAUGGUCACUUAUUAAGGACACCUUAAAGAAAAUCCUCUCUCCCUCCUCUGGAAGUCUUCAGUUGUUGGGUGAAAUAGUUAGGCAUCCUGAGUGAACUGAAACAUGAUGGCUGGA